UUAAACUUCUAUUCGCUGUAUCUCAUUGUCAUUCGUACUUCUUCCCUUUACCCCGGUUGUUCAAGCCGGGGUUUUU
rnacentral:ncRNA from 1 species